CCACCCUUAGCUCAGUUGGUAGAGCGCUCCGCUUAUAUCGGAGUGGUCCCAGGUUCGAUCCCUGGAGGGUGGA
rfam:Parcubacteria bacterium GW2011_GWB1_49_7 TY47_C0013, whole genome shotgun sequence.